CUGAGUUCGGGGGCAAUCCCAGUCCCGACCUCCAACCCUUUGUGAACAUAUCUUGUUGCUUCGGGGGCGACCCUGCCGUCCGCGGCAUUCCCCCCGGAGGUCAUCAAAACACUGCAUUAUUACGUCGGAGUAAAAAGUUAAUUUAAUA
rnacentral:misc_RNA from 1 species